GGCCGUACUCCCCCAGGCGGUCGACUUAUCGCGUUAGCUGCGCCACUAAGAUCUCAAGGAUCCCCAACGGCUAGUCGACAUCGUUUACGGCGUGGACUACCAGGGUAUCUAAUCCUGUUUGCUCCCCACGCUUUCGCACCUCAGUGUCAGUAUCAGUCCAGGUGGUCGCCUUCGCCACUGGUGUUCCUUCCUAUAUCUACGCAUUUCACCGCUACACAGGAAAUUCCACCACCCUCUACCGUACUCUAGCUCAGUAGUUUUGGAUGCAGUUCCCAGGUUGAGCCCGGGGAUUUCACAUCCAACUUGCUGAACCACCUACGCGCGCUUUACGCCCAGUAAUUCCGAUUAACGCUUGCACCCUUCGUAUUACCGCGGCUGCUGGCACGAAGUUAGCCGGUGCUUAUUCUGUUGGUAACGUCAAAACAGCAAGGUAUUAACUUACUGCCCUUCCUCCCAACUUAAAGUGCUUUACAAUCCGAAGACCUUCUUCACACACGCGGCAUGGCUGGAUCAGGCUUUCGCCCAUUGUCCAAUAUUCCCCACUGCUGCCUCCCGUAGGAGUCUGGACCGUGUCUCAGUUCCAGUGUGACUGAUCAUCCUCUCAGACCAGUUACGGAUCGUCGCCUUGGUAGGCCUUUACCCCACCAACUAGCUAAUCCGACCUAGGCUCAUCUGAUAGCGUGAGGUCCGAAGAUCCCCCACUUUCUCCCUCAGGACGUAUGCGGUAUUAGCGCCCGUUUCCGGACGUUAUCCCCCACUACCAGGCAGAUUCCUAGGCAUUACUCACCCGUCCGCCGCUGAAUCCAGGAGCAAGCUCCCUUCAUCCGCUCGACUUGCAUGUGUUAGGCCUGCCGCCAGCGUUCAAUCUGAGCCAGGAUCAAACCCUU
rnacentral:rRNA from 1 species